CACGAAGGGGGCUAGCGUUGCUCGGAAUGACUGGGCGUAAAGGGCGCGUAGGCGGUUUGGUUCGUUAGGCGUGAAAUUCCUGGGCUCAACCUGGGGACUGCGUUUAAUACAGCCAGACUUGAGUGUGGAAGAGGGUCGUGGAAUUCCCAGUGUAGAGGUGAAAUUCGUAGAUAUUGGGAAGAACACCGGUGGCGAAGGCGGCGACCUGGUCCAUUACUGACGCUGAGGCGCGAAAGCGUGGGGAGCAAACAGG
rnacentral:rRNA from 1 species